GCCGGGCGUGGUGGCGGGCGCCUGUAGUCCCAGCUACUCGGAGGCUGAGGCAGGAGAAUGGCGUGAACCUGGGAGGCGGAGCUUGCAGUGAGCCGAGAUCGCGCCACUGCACUCCAGCCUGGGUGACACAGCGCGAGACUCCGUCUCAAAAAAAAAAAAAAAAAAAAAGUCAUAUAACUUGUUGAAAAUAAACAGAUACCAGACGGAGUCUCGCUUUGUUGUUCAGGUGCAGUGGUGUGAUCUCGGCUCACUGCAACCUCUGCCUCCUGGGUUCAAGCGUUUCUCCUGCCUC
rnacentral:SRP_RNA from 1 species